rnacentral:rRNA from 1 species
GCCUAUGGCCACACCACCCUGAAAGCGCCUGAUCUCGGAAGCUAUCCGGGGCCUGGCCUGCUUAGUACCUGGGUGCCUGGGAAUACCAGGUGUCGUAGGCU